AAACACCUUCAAUCUUCCGGGUUCCCAGCCUUGCUAAUGGAUUAUUUCGGGUAUCAUUAUUACAGAAAUUUGCGCUAAACUUCCACUAUAUUCCACUAGAAUUCUGGAGCUAGCUUGUGCGCUGUGUGAAAGAUCAAAUAUAAUGUGCAAAUUACCAGCUGGAAUACAAACAUGGGAAAGAAAAGGAGUAUGAGUCAGAUGGCUGUCCAUGGGCUGCAUAAAACCAGGCUGAGGACUGCAUGUGGCCCCUGGGCCACAGGUUGUCCAUCCCUGUUCUAGAUAUGGCUGCAGAAUGUGAGAAAGAAAUACGACCCAGCAGCUACAUGGCUCAGCUUCUCCCAAACACCUGAGGUGUCCGUCUUGCCGUUUCCUGCAGUGGUGCAGAUUUCAAACCUCGCUUGCGUGCUUCCCUAAGGCAUUUGGUUGGCCACUAGAAGAAACAUGAUAUUGGACAACAUACACCUUUGAUCAGAUGCAGGAGAUCUCUCCAACGUCCAAGUACUUUGCUCAUCACAGGUAACAAAGGAUGAAAGGUGAUGACCUCCUCAACGCUUCAUGAGAGAGUCCUUCAGUUUGGGCUUGAUUCUCUCACUCUCUGUUGAUGCUACCAGUGUUCAUGCACUUGACCCAAUGUCCCUCCUUCCUCCUGUAAUUGGCUUCUUCAUGGAUGUAAGCAGCAUAGGGAAACAAAGAAGACACAGCUGUUCUCUGCUCACAUCCAAGAAGAAUGCAGGGGGUGCUUGAGAGUGAAUGAGCAGGCCAUUAAUGUUGAGACCAGGGGAAAGGAAGCUUUGUUUGAGACUCUAUCUGGUGCAGUCUCCAGGGGGCUUCUCCCCACAUGGGACCUCCUUCAGAGUUCAGAAGAAGGGUCCCAACCUAUACAGCACACCUGGAAUAACAACACAUAUCAAGCAGCAGAUGGCAUGAUGAGAAGAGGCAGAAUAGCAUAAUGAUAGCUAAGGUAUUCUCCAGGUGUUCAUCUUCUGGUUGAACAUUUAUUAUUGCUGUUGAGAAAAAACGGGUCACAUUCCCUCAUCUCUCUCCUGACAAAUGUCAUCACCUUGGGCGACCAAGGCAGUUUCAGUGCCAUGGCCAGGCCUGAAGCCAGACUGGA